rnacentral:lncRNA from 1 species
UUGUGAAUCUCUGCUGCUGCCACUGCCUAACUACUGGCUGUGACUGCUAAGCAUCUACCGCGAGCGCUGCCUUACUCUGUGCCAAGCCCCAAGCCCCGACCAGGCACUGCAGGCCAAGGUGCUCCGGAGAAGACAAGGGUGAGGCUAAGCUUAGCACAUGCCAGGCAUCCUCUCCUAUGGAAAUUCUUGGAGAUGGAGGGAAAAGUACUAGCACAGCCACAGUAAGGCUUCCUCUGAAGGACAGAGCUGGAGGACAGCUACCACCGGCCUGGACUGUGGUCGUGAGGUCUGGAGGCACAACAGCCACUUUGUGACCAUGAAUCCAACAAACUUGAGAGGGAAACCACAUGCUGAGCAAGGCAGAGGAGGAAAACGGAAUCUAGGUCCUUCAUAACAUUGCUGAACACUGAAUCGGUCCCAAGUUGGCAAUCUUCAAUCGUAUUCUAUAAGUUAAAGAAACUCCUACUUGUUUGAGCUACUGUAGGUCAAGUUCCUUCUUUGUAAGCAGGUGC